rnacentral:rRNA from 1 species
GACGAACGCUGGCGGCGUGCUUAACACAUGCAAGUCGAACGGAAAGGCCUGCUUUCCCUUGUGGAUUGCGGGUACUCGAGUGGCGAACGGGUGAGUAACACGUGAGUGAUCUGCCCCCAACUUGGGUAUAAGCCUGGGAAACUGGGUCUAAUUCCCGAUAGGACUGCAGGGUGGUGCCUGUGGUGGAAAACGAUGUUCUAGUGGUUGGGGAUGAGCUCGCGGCCUAUCAGCUUGUUGGGGGGGUGAUGGCCUACCAAGGCGGCGACGGGAAGCCGGCCUGAGAGGGUGGACGGCCACAUUGGGACUGAGAUACGGCCCAGACUCCUACGGGAGGCAGCAGUGGGGAAUAUUGCACAAUGGGCGGAAGCCUGAUGCAGCGACGCCGCGUGGGGGAUGACGGCCUUCGGGUUGUAAACUCCUUUCGACCGCGAGGAAGCCACCUGGUUGGAAGGGUGGUGACGGUAGUGGUAGAAGAAGCACCGGCUAACUACGUG